AUUGAACGCUGGCGGCAUGCCUAACACAUGCAAGUCGAACGGCAGCACGGGUGCUUGCACCUGGUGGCGAGUGGCGAACGGGUGAGUAAUACAUCGGAACAUGUCCUGUAGUGGGGGAUAGCCCGGCGAAAAACGGAGUAAUACCGCAGACGAUCUACGGAUGACAGCGGGGGACCUACGGGCCGCGCGCUAUAGUGUUACCCGAUGGCUGAUUAGCUAGUUGGUGGGGUAAAGGCCUACCAAGGCCACGAUCAGUAGCCGGUCUGAGAGGAAGACCAGCCACACUGGGACUGAGACACGGCCCAGACUCCUACGGGAGGCAGCAGUGGGGAAUUUUGGGCAAUGGGCGAAAGCCUGAUCCAGCAAUGCCGCGUGUGUGAAGAAGGCCUUCGGGUUGUAAAGCACUUUUGUCCGGAAAGAAAACCUUGGCCCUAAUACGGUCGGGUGAUGACGGUACCGGAAGAAUAAGCACCGGCUAACUACGUG
rnacentral:rRNA from 1 species